UCUGUGCCGCUCUGUUCGGCACACGAGAACGAUGGUGUAUUAAGUAACGUUUUUUCUUGAAAUCUUACUCUUCUUCAUUCAUCGUUUAACAGAAAUCCAAAAAGUUUAUUAUAGUCAGACAAGUACCAUCGUCAUCAAAUCCAUAAUCAUCUUCAUCAUGGUCCGGACACAAGCGAUGCUGCCGUUUGAAUCACCAGGAGCAUAAAAAAACCAAAUGAAUAUUCGUGAGACCAAUACUUUAUCGAUGUGAUUACUAAUCAUGUGGGCGGGCGAAGUAUAUGCGUUUGCAAGAAGAAACAAAAUUGUCCAUGGGCAUUUAACUCUCAGUGGUAAAAAACCGAAACCAUUGCCGAAGAAAUUAUGGAACGGAGAAUGAAAAA